rnacentral:lncRNA from 1 species
CCAAACAAUACCCAAAAGAAAAUUCCCCCUUACUAAAGGGAGGGAAGGGAGGGUGGCUGCCGUCAACGACGGCACUGUGCUACACCCCCCCUCCCCAACCCACCUAUAUUGGAGGCGGCUCCGGCUCAGGCCGUUCCAGGCUGUCUGGGCAGUCUGGCAGCUCGGGACGGUCAGGGCAGUCUGGCAACUCGGGACGGUCAGGGCAGUCUGGCAACUCGGGACGGUCAGGGCAGUCUGGCAACUCGGGACGGUCAGGGCAGUCUGGCAACUCGGGCAGGUCAGGGCAGUCUGGCAACUCGGGCAGGUCAGGGCAGUCUGUCAGCUCGGGGCAGUCUGGGCAGUCUGGCCACUCCGGCAGUUCAGGGCAGUCUGGCCACUCCGGCAGUUCAGGGCAGUCUGGCCACUCCGGCAGUUCAGGGCAGUCUGGCCACUCCGGCAGUUCAGGGCAGUCUGGCCACUCCGGCAGUUCAGGGCAGUCUGGCCACUCCGGCAGUUCAGGGCAGUCUGUCAGCUCGGGGCAGUCUGGGCAGUCUGGCCACUCCGGCAGUUCAGGGCAGUCUGGCCACUCCGGCAGUUCAGGGCAGUCUGGCCACUCCGGCAGUUCAGGGCAGUCUGGCCACUCCGGCAGUUCAGGGCAGUCUGGCCACUCCGGCAGUUCAGGGCAGUCUGGCCACUCCGGCAGUUCAGGGCAGUCUGGCCACUCCGGCAGUUCAGGGCAGUCUGGCCACUCCGGCAGUUCAGCGCAGUCUGGCCACUCCGGCAGUUCAGCGCAGUCUGGCCACUCCGGCAGUUCAGCGCAGUCUGGCCACUCCGGCAGUUCAGCGCAGUCUGGCCACUCCGGCAGUUCAGCGCAGUCUGGCCACUCCGGCGACUGUUGACUGACGGGCAGCUCCGACGACUGUUGACUGACGGGCAGCUCCGACGACUGUUGACUGACGGGCAGCUCCGACGACUGUUGACUGACGGGCAGCUCCGACGACUGUUGACUGACGGGCAGCUCCGACGACUGUUGACUGACGGGCAGCUCCGACGACUGUUGACUGACGGGCAGCUCCGACGACUGUUGACUGACGGGCAGCUCCGACGACUGUUGACUGACGGGCAGCUCCGACGACUGUUGACUGGCGGGCAGCUCCGACGACUGUUGACUCGCGAGGCUGGGUUUACGCACUUGCCGUUUAGUGCGGGGAGCGGGAACAGGACGAGUCGGACUGGGUGGACGCACUUCCGGGUCCGCACGAGAGACAGGAGCUGGAAACCCAGGGCUAUGGAGGCGCACAGCCGGUCUAGAUCUUACCUCCUGCACAACCCGCCUUGGCUGGAUGGAACUAGUAGCCCUGCACGAGCGGAGUGCUCGUACAGGGCAGACUGGGCUGUGCAGGGGCUUGAUGGUAGCCGUGCGUAGAGCGGGAGUUGGGUAGCCUGGUCCUCGGAGGCGUACCGGCGACCAGAUGCGCUGCGCAGGCAUCCUCCUACCAGGCUGGAUGCCCGCUCUAGCACGGCACCUGCGAGGG